AAACUACAUUUCCCGUGAAGCUCCGCGCGCAGAAAAAGCGGAGGCUGCUGGGAAGAACUUAACGUUCCUGAAGCCGGGUUUCAGGCAACUGGGAUGGCGAGUCCGCGAGUGUUCCCACUUUCCUGUGUGGUGCAGCAGUAUGCCUGGGGGAAGGUGGGCUCCAAAAGUGAAGUGGCAUGCCUGCUGGCUAGCAGUGAUCCACUGGCCCAGAUUUCAGAGGACAAGCCAUAUGCAGAGCUGUGGAUGGGGACACACCCCCGGGGAGAUGCCAAGAUCCUUGACAACCGUAUUUCCCAGAAGACCUUAGGCCAGUGGAUUGCUGAAAACCCGGACUGCUUGGGCUCAAAGGUCAAAAACACCUUUAAUGGAAAGCUGCCCUUCCUCUUCAAAGUACUGUCAGUGGACACGGCCCUGUCUAUCCAGGCACACCCUAACAAGGAGCUGGCAGAGAAGCUGCAUCUCCAGGCUCCAGAGCACUACCCUGAUGCCAACCACAAGCCAGAAAUGGCCAUUGCCCUUACCUCCUUCCAGGGCUUGUGUGGUUUCCGGCCAGUGGAGGAGAUUGUGACCUUUAUGAAGAAGGUGCCUGAGUUCCAGUUGCUGAUUGGAGAUGAUGCCACAGCACAGCUGAAGGAGAGCGUGGGUGGGGAUACUGAGGCCAUGGCUUCUGCUCUGAGGAACUGCUUUUCCCACCUGAUGAAGAGUGAGAAGAAGGUGGUGGUGGAGCAGCUUAACCUGUUGGUGAAACGGAUCUCCCAGCAAGGAAACUCAGCUCACCCUGCUCCUGCCCUCCCAAGACGCCUCCCUCCUCCCUCUGGCCCAGGCUGAGCGCCUCUUCUCUUGUGGCCUUGGGAUGCUCUGUGACCCUCAGUAUUUGACGGAAACAAUAUGGAGGACAUUUAUGGGAAGCUCUUGCUGCAGCUGCACCAACAGCACCCAGGUGAUAUCGGAUGUUUCGCCAUCUACUUCCUGAACCUGCUCACCUUGAAGCCUGGGGAAGCCAUGUUUCUGGAUGCCAACGUACCCCAUGCCUACCUGAAGGGAGACUGCGUGGAAUGCAUGGCAUGUUCGGACAAUACCGUGCGUGCUGGCCUGACACCCAAAUUCAUUGAUGUGCCAACCCUGUGUGAAAUGCUCAACUACACACCUAGCCCCAGCAACAACAGGCUGUUUGCCCCAGCACAGAGUCAAGAUGACCCCUAUCUCUCUAUCUAUGAUCCUCCUGUGCCAGACUUCACUGUUAUGAAGAUGGAGGUCCCUAGCUCUGUCACUGAAUACAAAGUCUCAACACUAGACUCUGCCAGCAUCCUUCUGAUGGUCCAAGGGACAGUGACAGCUAUCAUACCUUCAGCCCAUGCAGAAAUCCCUCUGUACCGUGGUGGAGUGCUCUUCAUUGCAGCCAAUGAGAGUGUCUUACUGAAGAUUACUGUGCCCAAGGAUCUGCUGAUAUUCCGGGCCUGCUGUCUGCUGUAGAGACUAGUUCUUAGUCUCUCUGCCUACCACUGUAUCCUGGCCAGCUCCAUAUUUCAGGUGUAGCCCAAUCCCUGUCCCUGUUGUGCACUCUUUGAAUGUAUACUGGAUUAGAAGCAGUAAAUUUGGCAUUAGUAACUCCAGGAGCAUGCCCAGGCUGGACCAUCUUCAGGACAAGGUUUCUGUAUGCAUGAAGCCUGAGGCCUGCCACUCUUCUGUACCCUCUCAACACUGUUACCUCUGAGCCAGUGUGUCCACCAAAGAGGCAACCACUCUGCCCUAGCUGAGGUGUUAGGCUAACAAAGCAUGCAUCCCCCAGCAUUAGCUCAGCAUGCUCUCAGCUGCAGAGAAGGGAAGGGAAGGGAAGGGAAGGAAGGGAAGGGGUAGGCCAGUGGACUAAUGAAGCGUAUUCCCUCUAGCUCCGUCAAAGUAAUUAAAGAUCACUUGUGUUGAGGAUACAGAGUGAAGAGCAGUCAGCCUUUGGUAUGCCUGUCCCUGAUGUGGGAGGAAGGAGCUCUCUGAUGAUGUCCAGGUUUGGUUUGAAUUCUUCAUACAGCUUCGUGGGGGUGGGCAGGCUGGAUUCCAGAAUGCUUUUACAGGAAGGGGUGGGAGAGGAAGCCAGCUCCAGCCUCAGUUGGACAGCUUGCAGGGAGGCCUUCUGCUCCUGUAGUUGACUUUUUCUGAGACUGUCUUCAUGUUCCAAAGGUUGGCUUUGGAGCUCUGCUUCUGCUUCCUAAUGGCCCCUGGUGUUUGCACAUGGUAUGUAUGUGCACAUGGUAUGUAUGUGCACAUGGCAUGUAUGUGCACAUGGCAUGUAUGUGCACAUACAUGCACCUGCGUGUUACUCCUCAAGAACCAUCACCUUUUUUUGAGACAGGGUCUCUCACUGGUGCCUGGAACUCACCAGUUCAGCUAGACUGACUAACUAGCAGGUCUCAGUGGUCCUUCAUCUUGACCUCCUCAGAACUGGGAUUACAGGUGUGUGCCACUACUUUUGGCUUCUUAUUUGGGUGCUUGGGGUGAGGGCUCAGGGAUUUGAACUCAGGUCCUCAUACUUGCAUGGUAAGCACUUUAACAACUGAGCCAUCUUCGUAGCCCCUUUAUGUAUUGUUGAGGUUAUCAGACAGCUCAGGCUAGUGCUAUGUAUUGGGGGCUGGAGACACAAUUCAGCAGUUAAAAAGUACUUGCUGUCUUUGCAGAGUACCCAGGUUUCAUUCCCAGUUCCCAUGUGGUGGCUCACAAUUGUAACUCCAGUUCUAAGAGAUUUGACGCCUGUUCUGACUUCUAUGGACUCUUGCACCUGCAUACAUGUAGUACACACACACUUAAGUGUACCCCCCCCCCCCACAUAAGAUUAAAAAACCAAAGCUGGCUUUUAAUCCCAGCACUUGGGAGGCAGAGGUAGGUGGAUCUCUUAAAUUUGAGGUCAGCCUGGUCUAAGUUUGAGUGAGUUCCAGGAUAGCUAAGGUUACACAGAAAAACUGUAUCAAACCAACCAAACCAAACCAAGCCACCCACUGCAGCACAGUACAGCUCACUACCAGGACUGCAUUUAUUAUAACAGACUAUGAAAGUGCAAGGCAAGAAAGAGGACUGAGGGGCAGUGUAAACAAACGUGGGGGAGGCACAGGCACUCCUGAGGAGGCUCAGACGCCCUCCUUCCCAGGGACAGCCUCCCGCAGAACACCCAGCCCUUGGAAUUAAGGCAGUUAGGGUGUGAGCACCUCUGUGCCUUUAUUGGUGUUAUUUUUGUCUGUCCCCUAACAGCUGCCCAUUUCUAUCCCUCCUAGCUGGACACUACUGAGCUUUUUCCACAAGUAAUGCUUUUCCACACGAGGCCACCUAGCUCGACAACUUUCCUUCCAGGGACAGUUCUAGCCAAGUACAACUACCCCAGAGAGUGUGGUUUCUUGGGCACUGCCCACCCCCAGGAGCUGCCAAAUGUCCAGGCUACUCUGUUUUAACCAAACAGAAAUAGAACUCCACACUUAAGUUCCACAAGCCCUUGUGGCCUCACUGAGCCCUACCACCAAGUCUUUCUCUACUCUGUACUAUCUCUGUUCCCUCUGCACAUGAGGACUCCACCUCUGCAGAGCCCUAGAAGCCUGGAUAUGGUCUGUGUUCCUUCCCUGCAGGCCAUACAUAAAGUGCUCAGAAUGAGAUCCUUGCACAGAGUUGCAGACUCCCACUGUAGAGCCCAGGCAGCAUCUAUGACCCAACCCAAGAACCAAGUAGAUGUGCCUCUGGCUUCUGUCCCAUCUUCCUUCUUGUGAUGCUGCCAAGCAGUCGAGUAAAAAGCCCCUAGACAUAGUAUACUCUUUUCAGCCUUCCACAGCCUGAGAGCAACAACAAAACCCCCUGCUAGGCACUGGCAACAAUCAUGAGAACAGAUUUGUGGCCAAGUAAUAGGGAAAGCCUUAUCUUUUGAUCUUACCUUUUUUGCUACUACCUAUGAAAGGACAUAGCAGGCAUAUCAUUUCUCCUAAGCCUCCAGUAAUCACUGGACGGACAGUCACAUGUGGUGCCCAACCCCUAACUCUGACUAUUGCCGCCCCUUAUGCUGGGAACCGUAUCUACCCCAAGCCUCACCACACACCUGGGUAAGAUAAAGCAAAGAGGCCAGGCAGUGGUGGCGCACGCCUUUAAUCCCAGCACUUGGGAGGCAGGGGCAGGUGGAUUUCUGAGUUCAAGGUCAGCCUGGUCUACAGAGUAAGUUCCAGGACAGCCAGGGGGCUACACAGAGAAACCCUGUCUCGAAAAACCAAAAAAAAAAAAAAAACCCCAAAGAGGAGGACCCGGGCAGAGGGGGACUGGGAAAACUAGAUUCCAGGAAGAGGCUUAGUACUGAGUCUCAGGCUUGGGGCUUAGCUGUGUUCUCCCAGAGGCUUUUUUUUUUGUUUUGUUUUGUGCAUCAGCCCUAGCCUUGCACAGGCUAGGCAAGUGCUCUACCAGCCUGUGAGCCCUGUGCUGGGGAGAGAAAUGUGCCUUGUUAGAGGGAAGGCCUCCUUGCACUGCAGAUUCAUCAACUCAAGUGGGGUCCAGGAGCUGGCUUAAGUCUCCCCUUCCCAUCCUGUCUAAACAUUUCCAUGUAGGCCAGAGUCACACAGCUACACCAGGACACCUCUCAUCCAUCAAUACUUCUCAAAAGCUUACACAGCUAAACAUAGGAAGGCACUAACUUCCCAGCAGCUCCCUCUGCUGGUAAUAACAAAAACUGCAGAUUCCUGCCAAUCCAAUUUUUACCUCAAAAAAAAAAAAAAAA